GAAACAGUGUUUCUACAAAGAGGACAAGUCGAAUGAGAAUGAAACCACAUAUCAAUGCAUUGCAUGUGAAAGCCGUGAUUACAUUUAGGUAAAAAUCUGGCCUUUUCUCCUUCCGAUACUUGACACAGACAGACCGAGCAUUCUAAACCUAAUUUAUCUUCUGCUGCAGAGAUUUGUACUACUUUAAUAGAACUGAGAAUCGACGGAUCAAGUCCCUGGCGCUGUUGCAGAGUUGGCAAGUCUGAACUCGUGGCCUCUCUGGAGGUGCGACGGUUCCAGAAGUGGUGCCUCAC
rnacentral:lncRNA from 1 species